rnacentral:rRNA from 1 species
AUUGAACGCUUGCGGCAGGCCUAACACAUGCAAGUCGAGCGAGCGGCGGACGGGUGAUUAAUGUCUGGGAAACUGCCUGAUGGAGGGGGAUAACUACUGGAAACGGUAGCUAAUAACGCAUACCAUCAGAUGUGCCCAGAUGGGAUAAGCUAGUAGGUGGGGUACCGGCUCACCUAGGCGAAGAUCCCUAGCUGGGCUGAGAGGAUGACCAGCAACACUGGAACGGAGACACGGUCCAGACUCCGACGGGAGGCAGCAGUGGGGAAGAUUGCACAAUGGGCGCAAGCCUGAUGCAGCCAUGCCGCGUGUGUGAAGAAGGCCUUCGGGUUGUAAAGCACUUGCAGCGGGGAGGCGUUACCCGCAGAAGAAGCACCGGCUAACUCCGUGCCAGCAGCCGCGGUAAUAC